rfam:Triticum aestivum genome assembly, contig: Triticum_aestivum_CS42_TGACv1_scaffold_342399_4DL
GGGUUGCCAUCAUCCGUCCGAAAAUACUUGUCAUCAAAAUGGAUAAAAAGGGAUGUAUCUAGAACUAAUAUACGUUAGAUACAUUCCCUUUUAUUCAUUUUGAUGACAAGUAUUUCCGGACGGCGGGAGUAUUGU